UAGCGAACGGGUGAGUAACGCGUGGGUAACCUACCUAUCAGCGGGGGAUAACUAUUGGAAACGAUAGCUAAUACCGCAUAACAAUGUUGGAUGCAUAUUCGACAUUUGAAAGUACCAACUGGUACACUGAGAGAUGGACCCGCGUUGUAUUAGCUAGUUGGUAGUGUAAUGGACUACCAAGGCGAUGAUACAUAGCCGACCUGAGAGGGUGAUCGGCCACAUUGGGACUGAGACACGGCCCAAACUCCUACGGGAGGCAGCAGUAGGGAAUCUUCGGCAAUGGACGAAAGUCUGACCGAGCAACGCCGCGUGAGUGAAGAAGGUUUUCGGAUCGUAAAACUCUGUUGUUAGAGAAGAACGUUGCAUAGAGUGGAAAAUUAUGCAAGUGACGGUAUCUAACCAGAAAGGGACGGCUAACUACGUGCCAGCAGCCGCGGUAAUACGUAGGUCCCGAGCGUUGUCCGGAUUUAUUGGGCGUAAAGCGAGCGCAGGUGGUUUAAUAAGUCUGAUGUAAAAGGCAGUGGCUCAACCAUUGUGUGCAUUGGAAACUGUUAGACUUGAGUGCAGUAGAGGAGAGUGGAAUUCCAUGUGUAGCGGUGAAAUGCGUAGAUAUAUGGAGGAACACCGGUGGCGAAAGCGGCUCUCUGGACUGUCACUGACACUGAGGCUCGAAAGCGUGGGUAGCAAACAGGAUUAGAUACCCUGGUAGUCCACGCCGUAAACGAUGAGUGCUAGUUGUUUGGGGCUAUCCA
rnacentral:rRNA from 1 species